rnacentral:rRNA from 1 species
UGGGGAAUAUUGGACAAUGGGCGAAAGCCUGAUCCAGCCAUGCCGCGUGUGUGAAGAAGGUCUUCGGAUUGUAAAGCACUUUAAGUUGGGAGGAAGGGCAUUAACCUAAUACGUUAGUGUUUUGACGUUACCGACAGAAUAAGCACCGGCUAACUCUGUGCCAGCAGCAGCGGUAAUAAAGAGGGUGCAAGCGUUAAUCGGAAUUACUGGGCGUAAAGCGCGCGUAGGUGGUUUGUUAAGUUGGAUGUGAAAUCCCCGGGCUCAACCUGGGAACUGCAUUCAAAACUGACUGACUAGAGUAUGGUAGAGGGUGGUGGAAUUUCCUGUGUAGCGGUGAAAUGCGUAGAUAUAGGAAGGAACACCAGUGGCGAAGGCGACCACCUGGACUAAUACUGACACUGAGGUGCGAAAGCGUGGGGAGCAAACA